UUUUGCUGACGAGUGGCGGACGGGUGAGUAAUGUCUGGGAAACUGCCYGAUGGAGGGGGAUAACUACUGGAAACGGUAGCUAAUACCGCAUAACGUCGCAAGACCAAAGAGGGGGACCUUAGGGCCUCUUGCCAUCGGAUGUGCCCAGAUGGGAUUAGCUAGUAGGUGGGGUAACGGCUCACCUAGGCGACGAUCCCUAGCUGGUCUGAGAGGAUGACCAGCCACACUGGAACUGAGACACGGUCCAGACUCCUACGGGAGGCAGCAGUGGGGAAUAUUGCACAAUGGGCGCAAGCCUGAUGCAGCCAUGCCGCGUGUAUGAAGAAGGCCUUCGGGUUGUAAAGUACUUUCAGCGGGGAGGAAGGGAGUAAAGUUAAUACCUUUGCUCAUUGACGUUACCCGCAGAAGAAGCACCGGCUAACUCCGUGCCAGCAGCCGCGGUAAUACGGAGGGUGCAAGCGUUAAUCGGAAUUACUGGGCGUAAAGCGCACGCAGGCGGUUUGUUAAGUCAGAUGUGAAAUCCCCGGGCUCAACCUGGGAACUGCAUCUGAUACUGGCAAGCUUGAGUCUCGUAGAGGGGGGUAGAAUUCCAGGUGUAGCGGUGAAAUGCGUAGAGAUCUGGAGGAAUACCGGUGGCGAAGGCGGCCCCCUGGACGAAGACUGACGCUCAGGUGCGAAAGCGUGGGGAGCAAACAGGAUUAGAUACCCUGGUAGUCCACGCCGUAAACGAUGUCGACUUGGAGGUUGUGCCCUUGAGGCGUGGCUUCCGGAGCUAACGCGUUAAGUCGACCGCCUGGGGAGUACGGCCGCAAGGUUAAAACUCAAAUGAAUUGACGGGGGCCCGCACAAGCGGUGGAGCAUGUGGUUUAAUUCGAUGCAACGCGAAGAACCUUACCUGGUCUUGACAUCCACGGAAGUUUUCAGAGAUGAGAAUGUGCCUUCGGGAACCGUGAGACAGGUGCUGCAUGGCUGUCGUCAGCUCGUGUUGUGAAAUGUUGGGUUAAGUCCCGCAACGAGCGCAACCCUUAUCCUUUGUUGCCAGCGGUCCGGCCGGGAACUCAAAGGAGACUGCCAGUGAUAAACUGGAGGAAGGUGGGGAUGACGUCAAGUCAUCAUGGCCCUUACGACCAGGGCUACACACGUGCUACAAUGGCGCAUACAAAGAGAAGCGACCUCGCGAGAGCAAGCGGACCUCAUAAAGUGCGUCGUAGUCCGGAUUGGAGUCUGCAACUCGACUCCAUGAAGUCGGAAUCGCUAGUAAUCGUGGAUCAGAAUGCCACGGUGAAUACGUUCCCGGGCCUUGUACACACCGCCCGUCACACCAUGGGAGUGGGUUGCAAAAGAAGUAGGUAGCUUAACCUUCGGGAGGGCGCUUACCACUUUGUGAUUCAUGACUGGGGUGAAGUCGUAACAAGGUAACCGUAGGGGAACCUGCGGUUGGAUCACCUCCUUACCUUAAAGAA
rnacentral:rRNA from 1 species